UACGUAGGGACCAAGCGUUGUUCGGAUUUAUUGGGCGUAAAGCGCGCGUAGGCGGCGCGGUAUGUCGUGCGUGAAAUCUCCCGGCUUAACUGGGAGGGGCCGUGCGAAACUGCCGGGCUUGAGGUCGGAAGGGGAAAGUGGAAUUCCGGGUGUAGUGGUGGAAUACGUAGAUAUCCGGAGGAACACCAGCGGCGAAGGCGGCUUUCUGGUCCGAUACUGACGCUGAGGUGCGAAAGCGUGGGGAGCGAUCCGG
rnacentral:rRNA from 1 species